GCAUAUAAACACAACAAGAACCUUAUACACAACUCCAUAUGUUAACAAGCGAAUUGUUGUGAUUCAGCUUCAAGAAGGAUAUCCCUGAUGGAAAGUCAACUUGAAAUAUUGUUUUAGUUGGUUGAUGCAUAUUUAAAUGAAGUAAGAAGUUUUGUUCAGCCGUUAUGUACAUAUAAUUGUAUAAACACAACAAGAACCUUGAAGA